rnacentral:rRNA from 1 species
GAUGAACGCUAGCGACAGGCCUAACACAUGCAAGUUGAGGGGCAGCACUUCGGGUGGCGACCGGCGCACGGGUGAGUAACGCGUAUGUAACCUGCCUACAACAGGGGUAUAGCUCGCUGAAAAGCGAAUUAAGACCGCAUAAGACUACGAUAUCGCAUGGUAACGUGGUAAAAUAUUUAUAGGUUGUAGAUGGGCAUGCGUGACAUUAGCUAGUUGGUAGGUAACGGCCUACCAAGGCAACGAUGUCUAGGGGUUCUGAGAGGAAGGUCCCCCACACUGGUACUGAGACACGGACCAGACUCCUACGGGAGGCAG